CAAUAGCGUAUAUUAAAGUUGUUGCGGUUAAAAAGCUCGUAGUUGGAGUUCUGCCAGGUGCCGCCUGUCCGCCCCAGUGGUGAGUACGUGGCGCGCAUUUGGCCCUUUCAAGGGGAGCGUAUCUGCACUUUAUUGUGUGGUGCGGGAUCCUUGACUUUUACUUUGAGGAAAUAGGAGUGUUCCAAGCAGGCUCUCGUCGUGCACAGCUCAGCAUGGAAUAAUAGCAUUGGACCUCGAUUCUAAGCUGUUGGUUGCCAGAAGCGAGGUAAUGAUGAAGAGGGAUAGUUGGGGGCAUUCGUAUUUAACUGUCAGAGGGGAAAUUCUUGGAUUUGUUAAAGACGGACUACUGCGAAAGCAUCUGCCAUGGAUGUUUUCAUUGA
rnacentral:rRNA from 1 species